UACGGGGGGGGCAAGCGUUGUUCGGAAUUACUGGGCGUAAAGGGCUCGUAGGCGGCCAACUAAGUCAGACGUGAAAUCCCUCGGCUUAACCGGGGAACUGCGUCUGAUACUGGAUGGCUUGAGAUUGGGAGAGGGAUGCGGAAUUCCAGGUGUAGCGGUGAAAUGCGUAGAUAUCUGGAGGAACACCGGUGGCGAAGGCGGCUUCCUGGACCGACACUGACGCUGAGGCGCGAAAGCUAGGGGAGCAAACGGG
rnacentral:rRNA from 1 species